rnacentral:rRNA from 1 species
AACGAACGCUGGCGGCAGGCUUAACACAUGCAAGUCGAACGCCCCGCAAGGGGAGUGGCAGACGGGUGAGUAACGCGUGGGAAUCUACCCAGUUCUACGGAACAACACAGGGAAACUUGUGCUAAUACCGUAUACGCCCCAAGGGGGAAAGAUUUAUCGGAAUUGGAUGAGCCCGCGUUGGAUUAGCUAGUUGGUGAGGUAACGGCUCACCAAGGCGACGAUCCAUAGCUGGUCUGAGAGGAUGAUCAGCCACACUGGGACUGAGACACGGCCCAGACUCCUACGGGAGGCAGCAGUGGGGAAUAUUGGACAAUGGGCGAAAGCCUGAUCCAGCCAUGCCGCGUGAGUGAUGAAGGCCUUAGGGUUGUAAAGCUCUUUCAGUGGGGAAGAUAAUGACGGUACCCACAGAAGAAGCCCCGGCUAACUUCGUGCCAGCAGCCGCGGUAAAG